UACGGGGGGGAGCAAGCGUUGUUCGGAUUUACUGGGCGUAAAGGCGCGUAGGCGGUCAGCACAAGUCAGUUGUGAAAUCUCCGGGCUUAACUCGGAAAGGUCAACUGAUACUGUGCGACUAGAGUGCGGAAGGGGCAACUGGAAUUCUCGGUGUAGCGGUGAAAUGCGUAGAUAUCAGGAGGAACACCGGUGGCGAAGGCGGCUCUCUGGACCACAACUGACGCUGAGGCGCGAAAGCUAGGGGAGCAAACAGG
rnacentral:rRNA from 1 species